rnacentral:tRNA from 1 species
GCGGGUGUAACUCAGUUGGUAGAGUUUCUGCCUUCCAAGCAGAAUGUCGAGGGUUCGAGUCCCUUCGCCCGCUCCA